rnacentral:rRNA from 1 species
UACGUAGGGUGCAAGCGUUAAUCGGAAUUACUGGGCGUAAAGCGUGCGCAGGCGGUUUUGUAAGUCUGUCGUGAAAUCCCCGGGCUCAACCUGGGAAUUGCGAUGGAGACUGCAAGGCUAGAAUCUGGCAGAGGGGGGUAGAAUUCCACGUGUGAGCAGUGAAAAUGCGUAGAGGAUGUGGAGGAACACCGAUGGCGAAGGCAGCCCCCUGGGUCAAGAUUGACGCUCAUGCACGAAAGCGUGGGGAGCAACAGG